UCAGCGACUUAUAUUCUGUAGCAAGGUUAACCGAAUAGGGGAGCCGAAGGGAAACCGAGUCUUAACUGGGCGUUAAGUUGCAGGGUAUAGACCCGAAACCCGGUGAUCUAGCCAUGGGCAGGUUGAAGGUUGGGUAACACUAACUGGAGGACCGAACCGACUAAUGUUGAAAAAUUAGCGGAUGACUUGUGGCUGGGGGUGAAAGGCCAAUCAAACCGGGAGAUAGCUGGUUCUCCCCGAAAGCUAUUUAGGUAGCGCCUCGUGAAUUCAUCUCCGGGGGUAGAGCACUGUUUCGGCAAGGGGGUCAUCCCGACUUACCAACCCGAUGCAAACUGCGAAUACCGGAGAAUGUUAUCACGGGAGACACACGGCGGGUGCUAACGUCCGUCGUGAAGAGGGAAACAACCCAGACCGCCAGCUAAGGUCCCAAAGUCAUGGUUAAGUGGGAAACGAUGUGGGAAGGCCCAGACAGCCAGGAUGUUGGCUUAGAAGCAGCCAUCAUUUAAAGAAAGCGUAAUAGCUCACUGGUCGAGUCGGCCUGCGCGGAAGAUGUAACGGGGCUAAACCAUGCACCGAAGCUGCGGCAGCGACGCUUAUGCGUUGUUGGGUAGGGGAGCGUUCUGUAAGCCUGCGAAGGUGUGCUGUGAGGCAUGCUGGAGGUAUCAGAAGUGCGAAUGCUGACAUAAGUAACGAUAAAGCGGGUGAAAAGCCCGCUCGCCGGAAGACCAAGGGUUCCUGUCCAACGUUAAUCGGGGCAGGGUGAGUCGACCCCUAAGGCGAGGCCGAAAGGCGUAGUCGAUGGGAAACAGGUUAAUAUUCCUGUACUUGGUGUUACUGCGAAGGGGGGACGGAGAAGGCUAUGUUGGCCGGGCGACGGUUGUCCCGGUUUAAGCGUGUAGGCUGGUUUUCCAGGCAAAUCCGGAAAAUCAAGGCUGAGGCGUGAUGACGAGGCACUACGGUGCUGAAGCAACAAAUGCCCUGCUUCCAGGAAAAGCCUCUAAGCAUCAGGUAACAUCAAAUCGUACCCCAAACCGACACAGGUGGUCAGGUAGAGAAUACCAAGGCGCUUGAGAGAACUCGGGUGAAGGAACUAGGCAAAAUGGUGCCGUAACUUCGGGAGAAGGCACGCUGAUAUGUAGGUGAGGUCCCUCGCGGAUGGAGCUGAAAUCAGUCGAAGAUACCAGCUGGCUGCAACUGUUUAUUAAAAACACAGCACUGUGCAAACACGAAAGUGGACGUAUACGGUGUGACGCCUGCCCGGUGC
rnacentral:rRNA from 1 species